rnacentral:rRNA from 1 species
GGGGAAUUUUGGACAAUGGGCGCAAGCCUGAUCCAGCCAUGCCGCGUGUGUGAAGAAGGCCUUCGGGUUGUAAAGCACUUUCGGCCGGGACGAAAUCGCUCGGGUUAACACCCAGGGUGGAUGACGGUACCGGAAGAAGAAGCACCGGCUAACUACGUGCCAGCAGCCGCGGUAAUACGUAGGGUGCAAGCGUUAAUCGGAAUUACUGGGCGUAAAGCGUGCGCAGGCGGUUUUGUAAGCCAGACGUGAAAUCCCCGGGCUUAACCUGGGAACUGCGUUUGGAACUGCAAGGCUAGAGUGCGGCAGAGGAAGGUGGAAUUCCUGGUGUAGCAGUGAAAUGCGUAGAUAUCAGGAGGAACACCGAUGGCGAAGGCAGCCUUCUGGGCUAGCACUGACGCUCAUGCACGAAAGCGUGGGGAGCAAAC